rnacentral:rRNA from 1 species
CCUACGGGAGGCUGCAGUGAGGAAUAUUGGUCAAUGGACGAGAGUCUGAACCAGCCAAGUAGCGUGAAGGAUGACUGCCCUAUGGGUUGUAAACUUCUUUUAUAAAGGAAUAAAACGAGGCACGUGUGCCUUUUUGCAUGUACUUUAUGAAUAAGGAUCGGCUAACUCCGUGCCAGCAGCCGCGGUAAUACGGCGGAUCCGAGCGUUAUCCGGAUGUAUUGGGUUUAAAGGGAGCGUAGAUGGGUUGUUAAGUCAGUUGUGAAAGUUUGCGGCUCAACCGUAAAAUUGCAAUUGAUACUGGCAGUCUUGAGUACAGUUGAGGUAGGCGGAAUUCGUGGUGUAGCGGUGAAAUGCUUAGAUAUCAUGAAGAACCCCGAUUGCGAAGGCAGCUUACUAAACUGUGACUGACAUUGAUGCUCGAAAGUGUGGGUAUCAAACAGGAUUAGAUACCCCAGUAGUC